rnacentral:rRNA from 1 species
CCUACGGGAGGCAGCAGUGAGGAAUAUUGGACAAUGGGCGCAAGCCUGAUCCAGCCAUGCCGCGUGCAGGAAGACGGUCCUAUGGAUUGUAAACUGCUUUUGUACAGGAAGAAACACUCCCUCGUGAGGGAGCUUGACGGUACUGUAAGAAUAAGGAUCGGCUAACUCCGUGCCAGCAGCCGCGGUAAUACGGAGGAUCCAAGCGUUAUCCGGAAUCAUUGGGUUUAAAGGGUCCGUAGGCGGUUUAAUAAGUCAGUGGUGAAAUCUGGUCGCUCAACGAUCAAACGGCCAUUGAUACUGUUAGACUUGAAUUAUUAGGAAGUAACUAGAAUAUGUAGUGUAGCGGUGAAAUGCUUAGAUAUUACAUGGAAUACCAAUUGCGAAGGCAGGUUACUACUAAUGGAUUGACGCUGAUGGACGAAAGCGUGGGGAGCGAACAGGAUUAGAUACCCUGGUAGUCCACGCCGUAAACGAUGGAUACUAGCUGUUCGGAGCAAUCUGAGUGGCUAAGCGAAAGUGAUAAGUAUCCACCUGGGGAGUACGUUCGCAAGAAUGAAACUUAAAGGAAUUGACGG